UAGGGAAUCUUCGGCAAUGGACGAAAGUCUGACCGAGCAACGCCGCGUGAGUGAAGAAGGUUUUCGGAUCGUAAAACUCUGUUGUUAGAGAAGAACAAGGACGUUAGUAACUGAACGUCCCCUGACGGUAUCUAACCAGAAAGCCACGGCUAACUACGUGCCAGCAGCCGCGGUAAUACGUAGGUGGCAAGCGUUGUCCGGAUUUAUUGGGCGUAAAGCGAGCGCAGGCGGUUUCUUAAGUCUGAUGUGAAAGCCCCCGGUUCAACCGGGGAGGGUCAUUGGAAACUGGGAGACUUGAGUGCAGAAGAGGAGAGUGGAAUUCCAUGUGUAGCGGUGAAAUGCGUAGAUAUAUGGAGGAACACCAGUGGCGAAGGCGGCUCUCUGGUCUGUAACUGACGCUGAGGCUCGAAAGCGUGGGGAGCAAACAGG
rnacentral:rRNA from 2 species